UAUUAUUUUUGAUGUUAAUUAUUUAACCUGAGUAGUAAUAGAUAUGUUCUUGAAACUUAAAGAAUUUGGCAGUAUUUUAUUCUGUUUAGAGGAACCUGUUCUUUUAUCGAUAAUCCUCGUUGGACCUUACUUAAUUUAUUGAUUUGUAUACCGCCGUUGUAUUGAGGAUCUUUAUAGUGUUUUAAUUUUCUUAAUUUUAUUUGAAGUUAUUUCAGGUCAAGGUGCAAUUUAUGGUUAAGUAGAAAUGGGUUACGUUUAUAUUUAUUUUUGGAUUGUUAAAUGAAAUUUUAAUAUGAAAUUGGAUUUGAAUGUAAUUAUUAUUUUAGAUUGUAUUAAUGAUUUAGUUUCUAGAGUGUGUACACAUCGCCCGUCACUCUCGUUAUUUAUUCGAG
rnacentral:rRNA from 1 species